UACGUAGGUGGCAAGCGUUGUCCGGAAUCACUGGGCGUAAAGCGCGCGCAGGCGGCGAUCUACGUCUGGGGUGAAAGCCCGGAGCUCAACUCCGGGACUGCCUUGGAUACGGGAUCGCUUGAGGAUUGGAGAGGCAAGGGGAAUUCCACGUGUAGCGGUGAAAUGCGUAGAGAUGUGGAGGAACACCUGUGGCGAAAGCAGUCUUCUGGACGGAUACUGACGCUGAGAUACGAAAGCCAAGGGAGCGAACAGG
rnacentral:rRNA from 1 species